ACCCUCUGGAAGGUCGCGGGACGGGAGCCCUUGUCCACGUUUGGACCACCCGCAGCUCGCCCGAGGUUGCCGAACUACAGCUCCCAUCAUGCCUCAUGAUCGGCUAGGACUGAUGGGUGUUGAAGUCGAGCAACAUCUGCCCCGCCGUAAAUUCUCCACAAACGGAUAUGAGUAGUAUUAUUAUAUCCUUGGCCUGAGACUGGGGCUGCAAAGCAACAGUUUAAAAUAUUGUCUUGAAAGGAUGCAAAAAACCCCAGAAAAAGACACAUUUGGGAAAAGAGGUUUUUCCUGCCCCUGUCUGCUGAAUGGCGUUGAAGUCCCCUGGCAAUAUAUGGCAAUAAGACACCAAAGCAAGGCACCUUUCAGAGGCCUGGAUCCUGCAACUGAAGGAUGUGAAAUUCUGCUGUCUCUGAGGUCAAACUGCACCUGUUUGAUUUCACCCUGAUGUGCUUGAAGAACACACUGAAGUUCUUUAAAAAAAAGGACCACUUAUGCCAAAAUCUUCAUAAGUCUUGCUCAGAAAUUAAAUUCAGAGAAUUGAAAAGCAGAUGAGUACAGUACAGUACUGUAUUCAGGCUGGA